GGUGAGUAACACGUGGGCAACCUGCCCUUCAGUCAGGAAUAACCCCGCGAAAGCGGGGCUAAUACCGGAUGAUGUCCUCUGGGGGCAUCCUUGGGGGACCAAAGGGGGCGAGCGAAAGCGGCUCCCGCUGACGGAUGGGCCUGCGGCUGAUUAGCUAGUUGGUGGGGUAGCGGCCUACCAAGGCGACGAUCAGUAGCCGACCUGAGAGGGUGACCGGCCACACUGGGACUGAGACACGGCCCAGACUCCUACGGGAGGCAGCAGUGGGGAAUAUUGCGCAAUGGGCGAAAGCCUGACGCAGCGACGCCGCGUGGGUGAUGAAGGCCUUCGGGUCGUAAAACCCUGUCGGGUGGAACGAAUCUCCGUUCCUCUAAUACAGGAGCGGAUUGACGGUACCACCGAAGGAAGCCCCGGCUAACUACGUGCCAGCAGCCGCGGUAAUACGUAGGGGGCGAGCGUUGUUCGGAUUUACUGGGCGUAAAGAGCGCGUAGGCGGUUCGAUGAGUCGGAGGUGAAAUCCCUCGGCUUAACCGAGGACCCGCGUCCGAUACUGUCGAACUUGAGUGCAGGAGAGGAGAGCGGAAUUCCCAGUGUAGCGGUGAAAUGCGUAGAUACUGGGAGGAACACCGGUGGCGAAGGCGGCUCUCUGGACUGUCACUGACGCUGAGGCGCGAAAGCUAGGGGAGCAAACGGGAUUAGAUACCCCGGUAGUCCUAGCCGUAAACGAUGGGCACUAGGUGUGGGAGGUAUCGACCCCUUCCGUGCCGCAGCUAACGCAUUAAGUGCCCCGCCUGGGGAGUACGGCCGCAAGGUU
rnacentral:rRNA from 1 species